CCGUCGAUAGCUCAGUUGGCAGAGCGGUGGACUGUAGAUCCAUAGGUCGCUGGUAUCCGGCUCGACGGA
rnacentral:tRNA from 1 species